GGUUUUUUUGUUUGUUUGUUUCUAUUUAAGUUAGCAUACAAAAUACUGGGAAAUAUCAAGAGAAAAGAGAAUUACCAUCCCACAAUGCUUUUUAAGGGCACCCUAUGACCCAAUGACUCAAAACUUAUCACUAGACCCCACCUUGUGAAGCUUUCCAAUGCCAAUAGUCCCAAGCUGAGGAACAAGCCUUUAACACCUGGGAGACAUUCAGACUCAACCUAUAGUAGUCUGCUAGGACAUCCAGACUUUGCUGUCAUAUUAGUACUAAUGGGUCUCCCAAAAGUGGGAGUUUUCAUGCUAGUGGUGGGAAUGGACAAGACAAACUGGCCUCUCCUCACUGUCGCCCAGAUAACAGACACUUUCUCUUACAGUGAUGACAGAAGUCACUCCUUGAAGUGCUGGUUCGCUUUCCAUUGUGUUUCCUUAAACAGAAUCAAGUCAGAUGCUCACUCUUACUGCAAAGAAUGGCUCGUAACAAUCAUAGUUUAUCCCCGUGGACACAUAGUGGAUCCAUGUAGAAGGAGAAGAGGGAAAGAUUAUGAGUGAGCAGCUCCCAGGACACCUCCAGUGAAGACUAGAGGUUUGGAUUUGAUCCUGCAGACAAGAGACAUCUCUAGGCUCUACACAGCAGUCAGCUGUCUCAUCUGAUAUUUUAAAUACAGAGGGAUUGAUAUAAGUGGGUUAAAUAAUCACUUUUACUAAUACCACUAAAGCAAGAAGGACUCUUGGUAGAUUCUUGCAAUAAUCUAGACACAGGAUAAGAUCUAAACAGAGACAGUGUCAGUUGAUGUGUAAACUAAACAUCAGUUGAUGCUGAGUUUCAAAGCUACGGGACAUUUUACCACACAAUGUACUGUGCCUAGGUUCAACCCAGACAGCUCUCAUUUGUGAAGGAGAAAAUAGUGAACGAGACAUUAGAGGAGGCUUGGCCAAGUUUCUCUCAGCUGCCAAACAUUACCUGCCUAACAAAGCAAACAUCUUAUAAGAUUGGGGUGAGAUUUCUCCCGUUCUUUGGCUCUCUGACAUGUCCGACACCAGCUGGCUUGCUCGCCGCCCCCCCCCCCCAUCUACCUGGCGCCAGGUGCACUUUCAGCAGAGAUGAGCAACCAUGAGCUUGGCAGUAUCCAUUAGAAGACUGGCUUCCCACUUCCAGUUACUCUACGUGAGCUUAUAACUGAGAUAAAGCUAAUCCUCCCAAGGCCUGUUAGUGAAAAAUCAACCCGGCAAGAAGCACAGCCUGGGAGUGCUGAACUCUUCCUACUAUGCGAGGUUCGAGAAAUGCUGCACAAGGAACAUUUGGACGAUGGCGGCUCUGGGAGGCAAUGGACCUUGACGCUCUUUCAAGAUAAGGGAGGCAGCUAAUUCAGCAAGAGUCUGUCUCCCAAAGAGCUGGAUGUGAUCUAUCUCUGCAGCCUCGCUGGAUGUCUCCAAGCACGAAAAACCUUAUCCAAUACAAGCUUCAAAGUCUGCAUGGUUGUUUUCUGGUUCCCAGCCUUCACUGACACCGCCUGCCUUGACUGAAGCCCACGGGCAAGCCUCAAGCUUUUGGAAAGCCACUGCAAGUUUUCUGUUGAAAAUGUCUAGGCUUAAAUGUAAUCUAAGCUCUGGUAAAGUACUUACGCUAAUAAAGGGCUAAGGCUUCCUCUACCCUGCCUGGAAGUACCUCAUUGUCUCAGUGUGCGCCAGCCCACAGGAGGGAAGGUUACGGCCGUGGCUUGGAUGGUCUUGCACAUGUGACUCUGGCUGGGGCACUGUGCCAAACUAAGGUCUGCUGCAUCCACUAAAGAGCUCCUCUUCUGUCUUGCUGCACACUGCCCAAAUCUCCGUUAGAGUGAUGGUCUCUGUGUCCCUAGACUUUAGCAUAGGAAAUAGAUAACCCCUUUCCAUGUUAAACUCGCAGCCAGGAACAAGGAGAAAACCCCAUGUUCUGAUGCUGUCUGUCUCCUUAUUCUCUUCUUCCUGGGCUAUGAAAUGCCCCUUCCCCCAACCCUCAGACUCAUGUGUAUGAGCAUCUUGUCUCUAGCUGGUGGCGCUAUUUCGGGAGGAUGUAGGACCUCUAGGAGAUGCGGGCCAAGCUGACGGAAGUGGGUUGCUGAUGCUGAGGUAGAGGUAUGCUUGAAGGUGACAUCUACUUACGGCUCUGGCCCAGACUCUCUGCUUCCUGGUCUACCAAGCACAAAGGCUCUCCAUGGGAUGCUUCCACUACUGUGCAAUCCUCCAGGCCUGCCCUAAUCAGAGGAUGCAGAGCUAUGAGCCAGACCAAGUCCUUCCUUCCUAUUGGAUUCCUGUCAGGUAUCCUGCCAUGGUGGGGAGAAAAGCAACCAAGACACCGUGUCAGAGAUACACAUGGGACAUCCACUCCUGUUCUUGAGGCCCUGGCCCUCCAGUGGGGGAAGGGGUCACACAACAAGACCUGCCAUAGUCUUGGGUCUUUUGUAUUUUAUUUUAUUUUAUUUUAUUUUAUUUUAUUUUAUUUUAUUGUCUUGAAACUCACCAGACUCCUCUGUGGCCCAGCUAGGACCCGUUCUCCUUCUUGACAGCUCUGGAAACCAGAGAUCAUUUCUUCCAGAAGCUUCCCUUAAGUGCAGCACAUGUUCCUUCCCAGAAUCCUCAGUCACAUAUCCCCUUUGCUCUCAUUGACCUGACUUGAGACACGUGUCCAUUUUCUGAGGCAGGCCAGGGGCGGAGGGGUGACAAAGAUGAUUGAUUCAGACCUGACUCCUUUAAAAGAAAUUUUUCUUUAAAGACAGAUAUUUUCCUUGCCAUCCCCAAAGCCAGAAAUUCCUAAUAAAAGCUAUUUUCAUACCAGAGAAUUGUGGUUUUACUUAAUUGAUUUUCCUCCCUUUUUUUUUUUUUUUUUUUACCACAAUUGUCGUUAUUAGGAAGGUAGAUAUUUUAAGCUGUCUUAAAGGAGAGAAAGAAUGGAUUUAACCACUAGGCAGCAGAUUUCUUGCUGCAUCUUACUGCUUUUAAGAUUUAAAGUUUCUUGCUUCCAUUCCCUUUUGAACGUCACUCCUGGGGCAGUGGGAUCUCCUUACCCACAUGUAUGCAGAAAGUGAUGGGCCCCCACUUGUGUCGGACGACCCUCCAUGAAUCAAUGCUGGAAGCUGACUUAACAUCAAUGACUGCCUGGAACAGCAGCUGAAGUCCCUGAGAGGCUUGAAGUUCCGAGCCUGCCUGUCCUGAGAGGUGUGCCAGCUUGUAUGACGGCACCGCCCCUACCGGCAGCUACCCUGUCCUGGGGCUUAACAUCUACCUCCGGUUCACACACUGGGCACUGGAGUGAGGUGGGGAUGGCAGCCCCAGGUCACAGCUCUACAGCAAAAGGAAAGCUUUUUACAGGAUUGCCCUGGGGCCAAGUAUACCUAGGAAAGUCAGUGUUCUUCAUAAUGCAGAAAGUCCAAUAACUCCACGUGGAAGGACAUCAUCACCAUGCACUGAAAGUCUGAUGGAGCAGAGUAUUCGAGGUCUCUCCUCUCUCUCCCCCUUCUCUCCCCUCCCCGCCCCCAUGCUCUCCUCUGCUGGGAUGCCCACUUCCUCUACCCUUGGGCGUUAGAACUCUGGGUUCUCUGGCCCUUGGACUCUGGGGACUUGUACCGGUGGCCCCUGCCGUUUCUAGGGUUUCGACUUCAGGUGGGAAGUUAAGCCGUCAGCAACCCAGGUCCUCACAUAGAUGUCUUCCUAUAAGGACAUUCCCAUAAUUCCUUCUUUUAUGUCUGUGUUGUCCUAGGGGGCCAAUUUCUCUGGAAAGCCUUGGCUCAUAUGUUGGGAUAAAUUGAAUUUUAACUAAGCACUUAUUUAUAAGUGGUUUGAGGAUGCACAUGAAGUCUAUGAUUUCUCAGCCAGGCUAAAUUAGAGUACAUACAUCUCACCUGGGGAGCAGCACUUGGCCUUGGGCAAUGCAUGACUUUAGAUAAGUUAUUUCCGUACCCUAGCUGUCUAGCCAUUAGUCUACAUUCAUAAAAUGUAGAGACCCAUCUCCA
rnacentral:lncRNA from 1 species